CACUCAACGAGACACAGGUGAAGACAAUGACCGACACAGGGCAAAAUCAAACAAACAAGGGGGCACGGCUGUGACAUGUGUAACUUCACUUCUAUUAGAAAGAAGUACUUGAACGACAUUAAGGUUGGAGGGAAGGGCAGAUACAGUAUUGGACUUUACACAGAAGGUGGCUUAUGCACUGUCACAAGACAAAAGUCCUUUAUCCGUGUGAAUGGAAUAUCUGUAAAAAUAUGAAGACAUUAAUUUGAACAACUUUGAUUAGAGUCUUUGGAUUGAGGCGUUGUUCCUAAGUUGCUCAUAACCAGUUGCAAAUGAAGCGACUACUGUUGAGACAGUGUGAGCAUGGUUUUUAUUAUCCCUUUAUGAUCAAAUCUAUCCAACUCUGUCUGGAAGAUAGCCAGACGAAGUUACGUCCAUGGGGACUGUUUAAAGUUGACAUGAGAAGCUCCAUUAAAGAAGCGAUGCUGUCGUGCCUUAUCGCCAAAACAGAUGAAUGAUUUCCUGCCCUCUCCUGGCAUCGGUCCAACAUUGGAGGCGUGGAGACUGGCACCAAGACAACAGUCGCUACAGUUGGUAGAGGAAGGAAACUCCUUAUAUGGGUACUCAUUGUGUUAAAUGGAAGCCACACUUGGAUCCAGGCUUUGUCUGGGUGCACACAGAUUCUGGGUGAAGAUCCAAGGGACAGUGAGGGGCCGGAACUUAGAGCGUGGGAACGUUAGUCCGGAACCGGAAUCGAUGGGAAAGCUGUUAGGAAAACAUACUGCAGCUCAUCCUAAUCAAAGAAGGAGAGAGAGGGAGGAGAGAACAAUGAGGGCUCGUGGAAAAGCUGAGGAGAGAAUGGAGAUGAGGAUGCAAUCAUGGAACUCGUGGCAGCAGUCAUGAUAUGAUGAUUCAGUGACAAUAAGGUACAUAGGAUUGUAAUUAGGUCACCAAUAUGGUUUAACCUCAAUUCAGUUUGAGAAUUAACCAAAAUAUGGGUCACCAAAUGCUGUCCAUUUUGUACGCUGGUACCACAUUUACCUAAACGCAGUGGCCAGCAGUGGGGCCUAGGGAUGGGGCGAAACAACUAAUUUCACCAAAAUAAUUGAGUGAUUAAGUUCUCUGCUGAUGCCAAAACAAUCAGUGGCAUGUAUGAACUUUCCUUUCCCAGCCAGCCUGCCAACCAACUCGCCUCACUGUCACAGUUCUGGUCCGAGCCACGCAUGAAUGUGGAAUGCAUUACUCACUCCACACGCACUCUGUGUUUCCGGGGUUCAGCCAGGAGGAAACACAACUAUCACCCUCCACUUUCUUUUAUGAUCAUAAUCCAAGGGAGAAACAGCUGACAGGCAGGAACCAAUGGGAGGCCAAAUGGUUGUUCCACAUUCUAUGUGCUUUGGGAGAGAGUUGAGUCUCCCAACCGACUUUAUUACAUGUGUGUAAAACGGAAAUUCUUCAUUCCUAAAUUUCAGCCCACAGUCUUACUCAUGUGGGUGGGGGUAAAUAGUUUAAAUGUGUGUGUAAAAGAGGCAUGCCUCAGAUGGUAAAUGGAAAGUAGAACCUCCAAGACUGUAGUGUACACUAGGGCAAACAUUUCUCACUUUAGUCAGAGAGAUGACAUUGAAUAGUAAUACUAUUCUUCUUAUUUACCCAUUAAUAGCCAACAUUUUUACAAAAUUGCUUAAAAAAAUAUUAUCUAGUGUAUAUACGUAUAUUACUUACACUUGGGCUAUUUCCAAAUCAAAAGCUUACAUUUACUCAGCCAUUCAAUACUGAACAAACUGAACAGUACUGUAGGCCAAAGAGCAAUGAGACAGAACCCAAAAAAAAAAAAAAAACAUUUAUUUUUAU